GAUUGAAUGCUGGUUUUUAUUCACAGGUCCUCUUUUGAAGGCAAGACGCAUCAGAAUUAUGACUCACCAGCAGAAGAAAUACUGAGGUUUGUAGCUAACUAGCAUGUUCAGCGUAAACAUUUGACAGUCUGUCUGAUAAAUGAAUGUUGUGCCUGUCAGAUGUUCACUUAAAUCGUUAAAAAUAAGAGGGAAAAGUAUCAAUAAAUUCUAAAAUACAUGUAAUGCA
ensembl:lncRNA